rnacentral:rRNA from 1 species
ACGCUCGACACCUACGGAGGCAGCAGUGGGGAAUAUUGGGCAAUGGGGGCAACCCUGACCCAGCAACGCCGCGUGAAGGAAGAAGGCUUUCGGGUUGUAAACUUCUUUGACAAGGGACGAAAUAAAAUGACGGUACCUUGAAAACAAGCCACGGCUAACUACGUGCCAGCAGCCGCGGUAAUCUGAGCGGGCUGGCAAGGC